GAUGAACGCUGGCGGCGUGCCUAAUACAUGCAAGUCGAGCGAACUGAUGAGGAGCUUGCUCCUCUGACGUUAGCGGCGGACGGGUGAGUAACACGUGGAUAACCUACCUAUAAGACUGGGAUAACUUCGGGAAACCGGAGCUAAUACCGGAUAAUAUAUUGAACCGCAUGGUUCAAUAGUGAAAGACGGUUUUGCUGUCACUUAUAGAUGGAUCCGCGCCGCAUUAGCUAGUUGGUAAGGUAACGGCUUACCAAGGCAACGAUGCGUAGCCGACCUGAGAGGGUGAUCGGCCACACUGGAACUGAGACACGGUCCAGACUCCUACGGGAGGCAGCAGUAGGGAAUCUUCCGCAAAGGGCGAAAGCCUGACGGAGCAACGCCGCGUGAGUGAUGAAGGUCUUCGGAUCGUAAAACUCUGUUAUUAGGGAAGAACAAAUGUGUAAGUAACUAUGCACGUCUUGACGGUACCUAAUCAGAAAGCCACGGCUAACUACGUG
rnacentral:rRNA from 1 species